rfam:Triticum aestivum genome assembly, contig: Triticum_aestivum_CS42_TGACv1_scaffold_502067_6BL
CUUACCGAGAGCUCUUUGGCAUUCUGUCCACCUCCUUGUGAAUCUUGCGGGGGAGAUCUCACGAUCUGUCGUGCUUGCAGGUUGCUUGGAGGUGGGCAUACUGCCAAUGGAGCUGUGUAGG